UACGUAGGGUGCAAGCGUUGUCCGGAAUUAUUGGGCGUAAAGAGCUCGUAGGCGGUUUGUCGCGUCUGCUGUGAAAACUCGGGGCUUAACCCCGGGCCUGCAGUGGGUACGGGCAGACUAGAGUGCGGUAGGGGAGACUGGAAUUCCUGGUGUAGCGGUGGAAUGCGUAGAGAUCCGGAAGAACACCGGUGGCGAAGGCGGUCUGCUGGGCAGUUGCUGACGCUGAUGCGCGACAGCGUGGGGAGCAAACAGG
rnacentral:rRNA from 1 species